rnacentral:rRNA from 1 species
AGUGAACGCUGGCGGUAGGCCUAACACAUGCAAGUCGAACGGCAGCACAGUAAUAGCUUGCUCUUACGGGUGGCGAGUGGCGGACGGGUGAGGAAUACAUCGGAAUCUACUUUUUCGUGGGGGAUGACGUAGGGAAACUUACGCUAAUACCGCAUACGACCUACGGGUGAAAGCAGCGGAUCUUCGGACCUUGCGCGAUUGAAUGAGCGGAUGUCGGAUUAGCUAGUUGGCGGGGUAAAGGCCCACCAAGGCGACGAUCCGUAGCUGGUCUGAGAGGAUGAUCAGCCACACUGGAACUGAGACACGGUCCAGACUCCUACGGGAGGCAGCAGUGGGGAAUAUUGGACAAUGGGCGAAAGCCUGAUCCAGCCAUGCCGCGUGGGUGAAGAAGGCCUUCGGGUUGUAAAGCACUUUUGUUGGGAAAGAAAAGCAGCAGGUUAAUACCCCGCUGUUAUGACGGUACCCAAAGAAUAAGCACCGGCUAACUUCGUG